ACCUACACUUUCAUUAAACUCAAAAACAUUGGAAAGAAGCGGACGCAUCGUGAACCAGAGGACAGGGUUGUUUAUGCUGAUGUGAAUACAAAAGGAGCAGGCUCGAGUCGUGAACCACAGGACACUGUUGUUUAUGCUGAUGUGAUGAAAGGACGUCAAGGGCGGCGCCAUAAAUCAGAGAACGCUGUUGUUUACGCUGAUGUGGAAAAAAAAGCUGAAGGUCUCAACAUGGUUUAUGCCCAGGUCAACCACCACAAGAAAGGGAGACCCAAGAAAACAAAAGGAAAAUCAACUCCUGCAACAGCUGAAGCUGUUUAUUCUGAAAUCAAACUAGGAUGAGCUCUGGGUGAUGAUGCUACCAUGUAGGGAACGAGCU